rnacentral:rRNA from 1 species
CAGCCGCCGCGGUAAUCCGAAGGGGGCUAGCGUUGCUCGGAAUUACUGGGCGUAAAGGGCGCGUAGGCGGACAGUUCAGUCGGGGGUGAAAGCCCGGGGCUCAACCUCGGAAUUGCCUUCGAUACUGGCUGUCUUGAGUAUGAGAGAGGUGUGUGGAACUCCGAGUGUAGAGGUGAAAUUCGUAGAUAUUCGGAAGAACACCAGUGGCGAAGGCGACACACUGGCUCAUUACUGACGCUGAGGCGCGAAAGCGUGGGGAGCGAACAGGAUUAGAUACCCCCGUAGUCCCUGUCUCUUAUAC